rnacentral:rRNA from 1 species
GUGGGGAAUAUUGCACAAUGGGCGAAAGCCUGAUGCAGCAACGCCGCGUGAAGGAAGAAGGCCUUCGGGUCGUAAACUUCUGUCCUUGGGGAAGAAGAACUGACGGUACCCAAGGAGGAAGCCCCGGCUAACUACGUGCCAGCAGCCGCGGUAAUACGUAGGGGGCAAGCGUUAUCCGGAAUUAUUGGGCGUAAAGAGUACGUAGGUGGCAACCUAAGCGCAGGGUUUAAGGCAAUGGCUCAACCAUUGUUCGCCCUGCGAACUGGGAUGCUUGAGUGCAGGAGAGGAAAGCGGAAUUCCUAGUGUAGCGGUGAAAUGCGUAGAUAUUAGGAGGAACACCAGUGGCGAAGGCGGCUUUCUGGACUGUAACUGACACUGAGGUACGAAAGCGUGGGGAGCAAACAGGA